AUUGAACGCUGGCGGCAUGCCUUACACAUGCAAGUCGAACGGCAGCACGGGUGCUUGCACCUGGUGGCGAGUGGCGAACGGGUGAGUAAUACAUCGGAACAUGUCCUGUAGUGGGGGAUAGCCCGGCGAAAGCCGGAUUAAUACCGCAUACGAUCUACGGAUGAAAGCGGGGGACCUUCGGGCCUCGCGCUAUAGGGUUGGCCGAUGGCUGAUUAGCUAGUUGGUGGGGUAAAGGCCUACCAAGGCGACGAUCAGUAGCUGGUCUGAGAGGACGACCAGCCACACUGGGACUGAGACACGGCCCAGACUCCUACGGGAGGCAGCAGUGGGGAAUUUUGGACAAUGGGCGAAAGCCUGAUCCAGCAAUGCCGCGUGUGUGAAGAAGGCCUUCGGGUUGUAAAGCACUUUUGUCCGGAAAGAAAUCCUUGGCCCUAAUACGGUCGGGGGAUGACGUUACCGGAAGAAUAAGCACCGGCUAACUACGUG
rnacentral:rRNA from 1 species